AACUCUGGUUAAGGAACUCGGCAAAAUAGCACCGUAACUUCGGGAGAAGGUGUGCCCUUGGUAUGUGAAAAGACUGGCUCUUGGAGCAGAAGAGGGUUGCAAUUACCAGGUGGCUGCGACUGUUUAUUAAAAACAUAGCACUCUGCAAACUCGUAAGAGGAAGUAUAGGGCGUGACGCCUGCCCGGUGCCGGAAGGUUAAUUGGA
rnacentral:rRNA from 1 species